rnacentral:rRNA from 1 species
AGAGUUUGAUCCUGGCUCAGAACGAACGCUGGCGGCGUGGAUUAGGCAUGCAAGUCCUACGAGAACGAGGCCUUCGGGCUUUUAGUAAAGUGGCGAACGGGUGAGUAACACGUGAGUAACCUGCCUCUAGGGCUGGGAUAACAUUCUGAGAAGAGUGCUAAUUCCGGAUGUGAUUUUUGUCUCGCCUGAGUUAAAAAUUAAAGAUGGCCUCUGCUUGCAAGCCAUCGCCUAGAGAUGGGCUCGCGGCCCAUUAGCUAGUUGGUGAGGUAACAGCUCACCAAGGCGAUGAUGGGUAGCUGGCCUGAGAGGGUGGUCAGCCACACUGGGACUGAGACACUGCCCAGACUCCUACGGGAGGCUGCAGUCGAGAAUAUUUCGCAAUGGGCGAAAGCCUGACGAUGCGACGCCGCGUGGAGGAUGAAGGCCUUCGGGUUGUAAACUCCUGUGUUAUGGGAAGAAUUGUCAGUUGGUGAAUAGUCAGCUGAUUUGACGGUACCAUAAUAGAAAGCCCCGGCUAACUGCGUGCCAGCAGCUGCGGUAACACGUAGGGGGCAAGCGUUGUUCGGAUUUAUUGGGCGUAAAGGGCGUGUAGGCGGCUGCAUAAGUCAAGUGUGAAAUUUCUCGGCUCAACCGAGAAACGGCGCUUGAUACUGUGUGGCUUGAGUACAGGAGAGGAAGGUGGAAUAGGUGGUGUAGCGGUGGAAUGCUUAGAUAUCACCUAGAACACCGGUGGCGAAGGCGGCCUUCUGGCCUGAUACUGACGCUGAGUGCGCGAAAGCUAGGGGAGCGAACGGGAUUAGAUACCCCGGUAGUCCUAGCCGUAAACGAUGGGUACUAAGUGUGGGAGGUAUCGACCCCUUCCGUGCUGUAGCUAACGCAUUAAGUACCCCGCCUGGGGACUACGGUCGCAAGGCUAAAACUCAAAGUAAUUGACGGGGGCCCGCACAAGCGGUGGAGCAUGUCGCUCAAUUCGAAGCAACGCGAAGAACCUUAUCCAGGGCUUGACAUCACUCUGACCGCCAUGGAAACAUGGUUUUCCCGCAAGGGACGGAGUGACAGGUGCUGCAUGGCUGUCGUCAGCUCGUGUCGUGAGAUGUUGGGUUAAGUCCCGCAACGAGCGCAACCCCUGUCCUUAGUUGCCAUCAGGUAAAGCUGGGCACUCUAGGGAGACUGCCAGUGACGAACCGGAGGAGGGUGGGGAUGAGGUCAAGUCCGCAUGGCCCUUAUGCCCUGGGCUGCACACGUGCUACAAUGGUCGGUACAGAGGGUUGCCAAACCGCGAGGUGGAGCUUAAUCCCAAAAAGCCGGCCUCAGUUCAGAUUGUAGUCUGCAACUCGACUACAUGAAGUCGGAAUCGCUAGUAAUCGCGGAUCAGCAGGCCGCGGUGAAUACGUUCCCGGGCCUUGUACACACCGCCCGUCACGCCAUGGAAGUCGGUAGCAUUCGAAGCCGGUGGGCUAACCUUUCGCAAGAAGGGAAGUAGCCGUCGAAAAUGAGAUCGAUGACCGGGGCGAAGUCGUAACAAGGUAACCAA